AUGAGAAGUCCUUUGUCCUACAAAAGAAGGAUGAUGCAUGUGAUAAAUCUAUGCAAAUUUACAGGGGAUGAAGCAAACAGGAUUAAAAUGCUUACUCUUUGGCACAUCAUUGGAAAGCCGCUUCAAGUCUUGUUCGAUAUUCAAAGGGUUUACAACAUUAUCAAGAGUUUUGGUACGACUCUUGGAGGCUUUUGGCACAUCAUUGGAAAGCCGCUUCAAGCCUUGUUUGAUAUUCAAAGGGUUUACAGCAUUAUCAAGAGUUUUGGUACGACUCUUGGAGGCCUUUGGCACAUCAUUGGGAAGAAGCUUCAAGCCUUGUUUGAUAUUCAAAGGGUUUACAGCAUUAGCAAGAGUUUUGGUACGACUCUUGGAGGUCUUUGGCACAUCAUUGGAAAGCCGCUUCAAGCCUUGUUCGAUAUUCAAAAUGUUUACAACAUUAUCAAGAGUUUUGGUACGACUCUUGGAGGACUUUUUCGACUUCCCGGCCUUCCUUGGUUCCUGGACAUUUUUAAGAUGAACCUUGCGCUCAACAAGCUCGCGUAG
rnacentral:rRNA from 1 species